UAUGUGAUCGUCUCUCGCAUAUCAAUAAGCGGAGGAAAAGAAACUAACAAGGAUUCCCCUAGUAACGGCGAGUGAAGCGGGAAGAGCUCAAAUUUGAAAUCUUAAAGGGUUUCCCUUUACGAAUUGUAGUUUAAAGAAGUGUUUUCUGUUGAGGUUUUGGUAAAAGUUCUUUGGAAUAGGACAUCAUAGAGGGUGAGAAUCCCGUAUAUGACCUUUACUUUCAACUUUGUGAUACACUUUCAAAGAGUCGGAUUGUUUGGGAAUGCAGUCCAAAAUGGGUGGUAAAUUUCAUCUAAAGCUAAAUAUUGGCGAGAGACCGAUAGCGAACAAGUACCGUGAGGGAAAGAUGAAAAGAACUUUGAAAAGAGAGUUAAACAGUACGUGAAAUUGUCAAAAGGGAAGCGUUUGACACCAGUGUUGUUUUUCUGAAAAUCAAUUAAAGAACUGUUUAUGCUAAGUUGUUUAGACUUUAUCAGCUAAUCUGCUUAGUUUUGAGCUUUUCUUUAAUGCACUUUUCAGUUAACAAGUCAACAUCAAUUUCUUUUGCUGUAAAAAAGCUUGAGGAAGAUGGCUUGAGAUUCGUCUUAAGUGUUUAUAGCCUCUUGCCUAUGCAGUCGGAGAGAUUGAGGUCUGCAGCGUAGAUCCUUCGGGGCUAAAUGCAUUUGUGCUAAGUUAUAGCAUUUUAUAGACAACUUGUUGACUAUGAUUUGUCUUGUAGCUUACUCGCUUAUGUUAUUUUACCUACGCUUAGGAUGUUGAUCUACAGAGCGAGAGU
rnacentral:rRNA from 1 species